UACGUAGGGCGCAAGCGUUAUCCGGAAUUAUUGGGCGUAAAGAGCUCGUAGGCGGUUUGUUGCGUCUGCCGUGAAAGUCCGGGGCUCAACUUCGGAUCUGCGGUGGGUACGGGCAGACUAGAGUGAUGUAGGGGAGACUGGAAUUCCUGGUGUAGCGGUGAAAUGCGCAGAUAUCAGGAGGAACACCGAUGGCGAAGGCAGGUCUCUGGGCAUUAACUGACGCUGAGGAGCGAAAGCAUGGGGAGCGAACAGG
rnacentral:rRNA from 1 species